GGUUGUGGCUCAGUGGUAGAGCACUUGCCUAGCAUGUAUAAGGUUCAAUCUGGGUUCGAUCCUCAGCACCA
rnacentral:tRNA from 1 species